UACGGAGGGUGCGAGCGUUGUCCGGAAUCACUGGGCGUAAAGGGCGCGUAGGCGGCGCGGGCAGUCAACGGUGAAAGCUUGGGGCUCAACCCCGAGUCGGCCGUCGAUACUCCCGUGCUGGAGCACUGUAGAGGCAGGUGGAAUUCCGGGUGUAGCGGUGGAAUGCGUAGAGAUCCGGAAGAACACCGGAGGCGAAGGCGGCUUGCUGGACCUGGUCUGACGCUGAGGCGCGAAAGCGUGGGGAGCGAACAGG
rnacentral:rRNA from 1 species